AUAAUUUUGAGAUUCCAUGCCAAAUGGUCCCUUAGCUUGGGACGUUGGGAAAGGUCUUGACUCUUGAGUCUCUUGACGCUCGAUCGUCACGAUUUCAAGUCAGAACUCAGAACUGUGGUGUUUUUGGAAGGCCUCAAUUCAAAGAAUUGGAGCAACGCGCUGCAGCCCGCGCGGGCUAAUACAAGCGGCAUGGACCACUGAUGGGAUAAUUCACCCUCACCCUUCGGGCUAACAUGUACUAUGCCAAGUGGCAUGGAGCAUUUCAUGGAUUCCUGUUCCUUUGUAAUCUGGUCAGUUUUUUAUAUUUUUUUAAUCAAUUAUUAUUAUUAUUAUUAUUAUUAGAUAUUAUUGUUAAGGAAAGUGUUUUUUAUGGUCGAAUGUGGUUCUGCUUGUAAGGACAAAAGAGAAUAUAUGGAAAAAUAUCUAAAAAAAUGUUUUUUUUUUUCAUGGGGACAGAUUGAUGAUUUCACUCUCCUUUGAAUGUAUGGUAUAGAGUCAAUGCUUUCGCGUGAAAAGAUGAUUUAUAUUAUUAUUAUUAAUUGAGCGUUUAAUGAAGCUGUUUUUGGCUGGCCGA